UAACCCCUGCGGCAUUCGUGACAAUUUGGGAAAAUUGGAGCCAACACUCAAAGACCGGGGGAUGAUACUGGAUGUGGUGUGCAUGCCUGCCUCGAGUAGGAAGCCUAAAGCAGCCGUGAUUCCUCCGCCCUUACACAAGGGCUACAAUUGGACCGAGUUAACGGUGCUUGCGGGGGUUUU
rnacentral:other from 1 species